GACGAACGCUGGCGGCGUGCCUAACACAUGCAAGUCGAGCGGUAAGGCACCUUCGGGUGUACACGAGCGGCGAACGGGUGAGUAACACGUGAGUAAUCUGCCCUUCACUUCGGGAUAACCGCCGGAAACGGUGGCUAAUACCGGAUACGACGCGCUCUCGCAUGAGAUGUGCGUGGAAAGUCUUAUCGGUGGAGGAUGUGCUCGCGGCCUAUCAGCUAGUUGGGGGGUAACGGCCUACCAAGGCUUCGACGGGUAGCCGGCCUGAGAGGGUGACCGGCCACACUGGGACUGAGACACGGCCCAGACUCCUACGGGAGGCAGCAGUGGGGAAUAUUGGACAAUGGGCGAAAGCCUGAUCCAGCAACGCCGCGUGAGGGAUGACGGCCUGG
rnacentral:rRNA from 1 species